CCACGUCUGCUUCCCAUGAUUUCUGCCUUAUUUUUUGCACUGCGGAAACCCUAUCUCACCUUAUCCCAUCCCCAUCUCUCUCCUUCUCUGCAGCCCCAGGUUCCCUCCAUAUCCCCUUGCCCACAGUAGCCUGCCAAGGGCUGGCCAGGGAAGAGGCAGUGCAUGCUGAGGCUGGUCCAGGCCAUUGCUGUUUGGCUGAACAGAGCAGAUGAUCACUGAACUCCUGCUGACACUUCAUCUCGGUACAAGUAGCCACCCUGCUGCAGAAAAAAAUGAUAAGCAGAAUAAAAAGCAGAAGACAAGACCUGCUGCAGGUGGGUCAUUUUAACAUGACUCCCUAGAAAAAGAUGACUGCUGCCCUGGAGAAUGCAGAAAUUUUGGAGUGCUAAAAUCACAGAGCUGUGUCUGACCAGAGAUGAGUGGAAGGGAGACUGAGCUGCUGAGAGGAAUCCCCUGCACAACAAGGAGCAAGAAAACAUGGAGCUCAGAAAAUGCGGGGAGGGGGACUAGGAUGAGAAAAAAAAUCCCUGAGGAAUUAGAUAAAUAGAAAGAAAAAAAACCAGUAGGGAAAUGGCAGAAGAGUGUAAGAUUUAGAGCUGUGCCUAGUGGGGCUGUAGCCAGGUGCAGGUGGAUGGGAAGGGAGGAAGGACUGGGAGAGCAAGGAAGGUUUGG